AGAAUCAACGCUGGCGGCGUGCCUAACACAUGCAAGUCGAACGCGAGAGGGGCUUCGGCCCCAAUUGAGUGGCAAACGGGUGAGUAACGCGUGGGUGACCUACCUUCGAGUGGGGGAUAACGUUCCGAAAGGGACGCUAAUACCGCAUGACAUCCUGUUUUUUUGACAGGCGGAGAUCAAAGCCGGGGAUCGCAAGACCUGGCGCUUGAAGAGGGGCCCGCGUCCGAUUAGCUAGUUGGUGGGUAACGGCUCACCAAGGCGACGAUCGGUA
rnacentral:rRNA from 1 species